rnacentral:rRNA from 1 species
GAUGAACGCUGGCGGCGUGCCUAAUACAUGCAAGUCGAGCGAACGGACGAGAAGCUUGCUUCUCUGAUGUUAGCGGCGGACGGGUGAGUAACACGUGGAUAACCUACCUAUAAGACUGGGAUAACUUCGGGAAACCGGAGCUAAUACCGGAUAAUAUUUUGAACCGCAUGGUUCAAAAGUGAAAGACGGUCUUGCUGUCACUUAUAGAUGGAUCCGCGCUGCAUUAGCUAGUUGGUAAGGUAACGGCUUACCAAGGCAACGAUGCAUAGCCGACCUGAGAGGGUGAUCGGCCACACUGGAACUGAGACACGGUCCAGACUCCUACGGGAGGCAGCAGUAGGGAAUCUUCCGCAAUGGGCGAAAGCCUGACGGAGCAACGCCGCGUGAGUGAUGAAGGUCUUCGGAUCGUAAAACUCUGUUAUUAGGGAAGAACAUAUGUGUAAGUAACGGUGCACAUCUGGACGGUACCUAAGCAGAAAGCCACGGCUAACUACGG